rnacentral:misc_RNA from 1 species
GUAGGUGAACCUGCGGAAGGAUCAUUAACACGUAUCCAACACGUUAUCAAUAAAACCCGGUCUCUUGUGUUCUCCCUCCCCGUCCAUCGGUAAUGAUUACCUCACCCGUUCGAUUACUCUUGAUAUCAUACUGCCUUCCCCUGGUGUCCGCUUCGGCCUCACUGUCGAAGAUUGUGGUAAACCUUUCUAUACCUAAUAACAGCAACGAUACUCACCUUCCUUACACUAGUUGACUAUUAUCUCGUCAUCUUCAGGUCUGAUCAAGAGGGUAAAACGCUCUUGGUACCACCUGAUAUGACACACGUUUAUGUUUAUAUGAUAUAACGUUAAAUACAACUCUUAGCAAUGGAUAUCUUGGUUCUG